CUGAAGAGGAAUGAUAUCAAGAAGCAGAAUUGGGAUGCUUUUUAAACGGUCGGUUUUAAAUCCAAGUGGAAAGGUUGGGCUAUUCCAUAGUUUAUAGCGGAUAGUUCAGAAGAACCUUCUCCACCUUCAAUCAUGUGUAUAAUAAAUCCAGGCCAGGUAUAUAAUAAAUCAUUUCUUGAAAAUAUAUUCGGGAAAGACAAAUUCGGCGCUCAGGCAACGGCAUGUUUGAUGGAUAUAUACAAUAGUGGACGAGUAAUCCUUGGCUAAAAUUAAUCAACUUCCUCGCUCAAUGUCAACAAUCUUACAUAAUUUCGACGUUGGAUUUUCUAUUCUUAGGCAGUGUGUUUAGACUAAAAGACUGGGUAAUAAUUCUGUAUCCAAUUGGUGCCCUUCAGAAUAUGUAGUAAAUUGGCAAAAAUUAUUUUACCUUAUUUCAUUAUUCAAAUUAUAUCUAUUUUUCCUUUUAAAUUUCAAUUGUCUAUAAUACAUAAAAGCAUUAUACUUACACAUUUACGUAUGUAUGUACCCAAUUAAAAAAUUUGUACCAAAUAUAGCAUAAAUAAUGAAAUUUUUAUCCGCCUAUAUGCACCUCCUGUUCAAACAUGUAUUGUGCAAAUACCGUACAUAGAUAAAUUUAUGUAAAUUUAUGUAUAAUUCAUGUAUCUAAUUAGAAAAAUAACAACCGCUUACAUAUGUCCCGCAGGGUAAAUAAAUAUUUGUAAGCAGUGUAAUAUAUGGAAUGCAUAACUAAGAUUACAAUUUUUGCCAAAACAAUUGUUAUAUUGCGUGCGCAAAGAUAAUUUAAGCAGGAUAUGAAUUCUAGCUAGCGGGCAUACAUAUACAUAUUUGUAAAUUUAUUCUGUAUUUCAGCAUAUUCUACAUAAAUAUUUGAACAUUGAGUAUGACGAUGCGAGUUAUUUUAUCCAUAUACCUAACUUAAUGUAUAAUUUUAGUAUAUAAUUAUUUAAAGAUUUUCAUAUUACUAGCAAGUUUCUAAUCAACCUCAUUUUUGUAAAUGGUCACAAUCACAUUUAAAUUAAUUACUUAACAGUAAACUAACGGUAAAAUUAACUUACAUUUAAAUUUCAAUCUAUUCAUCUUCACCCACUUUUCUACCACAAAGACAAAACUAGCCAGCAAAGCUAUCGCCCCGCAAAGAAUAAAUAACGUUAAAAUUGUCCCGUCUAAUUUAA